UGCAGGGAGUCAAAAAGUGCCUGCAGGGUCUUGAGUGAGCACCCAGGGAGCAGACUGGGAGACUGAGAAGGAAAGUAAAGAGUUUAGAUUUGUGACCUUGGAAGGAACGGGCUAAAGACUGUACCUUGACUGGAGGGAUGAGUUAUCUGAAAGAAACCACCACAGCCCCAGAGUAACUGUUGAGAAGGGCUGCUACCCCACAAGGCCACUGUGAUGCCAUGAGGAAGUGCAUAGUGCUCAUUACCUGUCUGAGGACAUGACCUGCAUGGUUCAGGAUUGCUUGUGUGUUUGUCACUCUCAAGAUGCUGGACAGCAAAAAGAAGUGGGGGGUGGAUGGGGAGGAAGGAGGUGAAGCAGAACAUAUUCAUGCAGACAUCAGUUCAUUUGUCUACAUGCAUGUGCCUAUUCCAUACGCGCCCAGGAACCUGAGAUCACCUGACUCAUUUGCUCACUGGCAUAGCAAGCCGUGACUCCUCAAACAAGAAAAUAAACCCAAAUAAAGGAUCACAUUUCCCCUC